rnacentral:RNase_P_RNA from 1 species
CCCCGCCGAUGGCCCACGUAAGUGGGAUCAGGUAAGGGUGAAAGGGUGCGGUAAGAGCGCACCGCGCGGCUGGUAACAGUCCGUGGCACGGUAAACUCCACCCGGAGCAAGGCCAAAUAGGGGUUCAUAAGGUACGGCCCGUACUGAACCCGGGUAGGCUGCUUGAGCCAGUGAGCGAUUACAGGG